rnacentral:rRNA from 1 species
UAGUCCACGCCGUAAACGAUGAGAACUAGAUGUCGGGAGGGUAGGCCGUUCGGUGUCGCAGCUAACGCAUUAAGUUCUCCGCCUGGGGAGUACGCCGGCAACGGUAAAACUCAAAGGAAUUGACGGGACCCGCACAAGCGGUGGAGCAUGUGGUUUAAUUCGAUGCAACGCGAAGAACCUUACCUGCCCUUGACAUACAGAGAACUUUCCAGAGAUGGAUUGGUGCCUUCGGGAACUCUGAUACAGGUGCUGCAUGGCUGUCGUCAACUCGUGUCGUGAGAUGUUGGGUUAAGUCCCGCAACGAGCGCAACCCUUGUCCUUAGUUGCCAUCAGGUAAUGCUGGGAACUCUAAGGAGACCGCCGGUGACAAACCGGAGGAAGGUGGGGACGACGUCAAGUCAUCAUGGCCCUUAUGGGGCAGGGGCUACACACGUGCUACAAUGGUAGUGACAAUGGGGUUAAUCCCAAAAAGCUAAUCUCAGUUCGGGAUUGGGGGUC